AGGCUCCUACGGGGGGCAGCAGUAGGGAAUAUUGCUCAAUGGGGGAAACCCUGAAGCAGCAACGCCGCGUGGAGGAUGAAGGUUUUCGGAUUGUAAACUCCUUUUGUUAGAGAAGAUAAUGACGGUAUCUAACGAAUAAGCACCGGCUAGCUCCGUGCCAGCAGCCGCGGUAAUACGGCGGGUGCAAGCGUUACUCGGAAUCACUGGGCGUAAAGCGCGCGUAGGCGGGAUAGCAAGUCAGAUGUGCAGUCCUAUGGCUUAACCAUCGA
rnacentral:rRNA from 1 species